AUCAACGUCUAUAUUACGCUGAUCCCUCAAGCUAAGCAGGGUUGGACCUGGCCAGUAGUUGAAUGGGAGACCCCCUAGGAAUAUCAGGUGCUGUAUUUU
rfam:Chlorocebus sabaeus isolate 1994-021 chromosome 6, whole genome shotgun sequence.